AUCCCAGCUUCCUGCAGCCAGGUAAGGCUGCCACCCGCCGGCCCGCCGCGUGCCCAGGCGCCGUCUGGCUGCGGCCAGAGCUGGGGUCAACACCCACCAGAGCCCUUCUUGCAUUCUCUUCAUGUGACAGCGCAGCUUCCCGCGAGUUUCGCUGGCCGCGAGCCUCAGGUCCGGACGCAGUGGGGGCGCCUCAGUUGCAGGCCCCGAAGGAUGGCUGCCAUAUUGGGAGACACCAUCAUGGUGGCUAAAGGCCUUGUCAAGCUGACCCAGGCGGCCGUGGAAACCCACCUGCAGCACUUGGGCAUCGGAGGGGAGCUGAUCAUGGCGGCCAGGGCCCUGCAGUCCACGGCUGUGGAGCAGAUUGGCAUGUUCUUGGGGAAGGUGCAGGGUCAGGAUAAACAUGAAGAAUAUUUUGCUGAGAACUUCGACGGCCCAGAAGGGGAGUUCCACUUCUCAGUCCCGCAGGCAGCCGGAGCCUCCACAGACUUCUCUUCAGCCUCCGCUCCCGACCAGUCAGCGCCCCCACCCCUGGGUCAUGCCCACAGCGAGGGCCCAGCUCCUGCCUACGUGGCCAGUGGACCCUUUAGAGAAGCCGGGUUCCCCGGCCAGGCCUCCUCCCCUCUGGGCAGGGCCAACGGGAGGCUCUUUGCAAACCCCAGAGACUCAUUCUCUGCCAUGGGCUUUCAGCGAAGGUUCUUCCACCAGGACCAAUCCCCUGUUGGGGGCCUCACAGCCGAGGACAUUGAGAAGGCCCGGCAGGCUAAGGCUCGCCCCGAGAACAAGCAGCACAAACAGACGCUCAGCGAGCAUGCCCGGGAGCGGAAGGUGCCUGUGACGAGGAUUGGCCGGCUGGCCAACUUCGGAGGUCUGGCCGUGGGUCUGGGCUUCGGGGCACUGGCAGAGGUCGCCAAGAAGAGCCUGCGCUCCGAGGACCCCUCAG
rnacentral:sRNA from 1 species